GUUCAUGUAAGUACAUCCUGGAUGGGGCCAGAACUUUGGUUACCCUGACAUUAUCCUGGAAAAUUUACUUGUACAAUCUCUGCCUUCUACCUUCUGGAACCAUCGGGUAACUGGCUUUUGGAGGUCACAAGGAAGACAUCAGGUCGAGCACUGAAGGUGACUUCAACAAGUUACGAACACUGGAAAAAGAAGGCAUUAUUACAAAGAGGAUCUGAAGGCGGUGGUUCAACACUAAAGCGCAAAUCCAAGGGUUGAAGGUUGUCCAGUCCGUGAGUGCCAGGAGUGGGACAGAGAGCUAAGUCUGCUCGCUCUGAACCCACAGCCUCUCCCACCAGACUGGACAGACUGACAUGUGUGUUCUGGCAGUAAGAGAUGGCUUUGACCGCUGUGUGAAGGAGGCAUACAAAAAAUGAGGUUGAUUAGUAUGGGGCGAGGCCUUGAGUGUCAUACCGAGUGUGUAUUAGUGGUCAGAAAAGAACUAUAACAAAUUUAUAGAUUUUAAGACAGAAGGGGCAUGAGUCUCUAUUCUAGUGUAUUAUGCUUUAAAAUAUUUUAAGUCCUGAGAUGGCUCAAAGGGCAUCUUACUUGGAAGUGGGAACAUUUAAGGCAGGUAGGAGCGAAGCUUCUGUGCUUGAGAGGGACAGAGUCCCUGAACCGGCUCCUUUGAACCCCUAGCAUUCCACUCAUCUACCACAGCUGCCUCCUUCUCCAGAUGAGGAAACGGAGGCCCAGAGUGGUGAGAAUGUGAUGACACAUCUUCAGAGAUAAGAGGGAUAAUUUGGAAUGAAACCUGGCUAGCCUGAUUCUGAGACUACGUUCCUUCUACACUAUUAGGGCUAUUAUAGGACUUUUAAAGUUCUGAGGUGGAGAUUGGGGUUAGCCCAUACUGUAGAUUGGGGUUAGUCCAUAUUGCAGAUUGGGGCUAGCCUAUCCUGGAGAUUGGGAUUAGCCCAUACUGUAGAUUGGGAUUAGCCCAUACUGUAGAUUGGGGUUAGCCCAUAUUGCAGACUGGGGUUAGCCUAUCCUGGAGAUUGGGGUUAGCCCAUACUGUAGAUUGCAAACAGUGCCUUGGCAACUGUGUACCUUGUUUAGUAAAAGGAAUAAUAUUAGGAAUGUGUCUUUGGGGAUUUAGAGGAAUUUUAGAGAACCUUAUUUAUAUUCCCCACAGGUCUCUAACAUAUUCCUAUCAAGUGGCAGAUAGCCUCUGCUUAGGUAGUCAUAGCAGAGAGAAGUUUACUACUGGAACAGUGCUUUUAUCAUAUCAUUUAGUGGCAGUGACACUUGUAUAUAGCUGACUGAGACCACUGUUCACUCCUUCAGUGGCAUAGUGUAACGGUUAAGAGCUCGUGUCUCAAAAUGAGAUUAUAUGGAUUCAUAAUCCUCACUCAUUUUAGAUGAGACACUUACUGACUCCAAACAUCAGUUUCCUCAUCCUCAAGAUGGGAUU